rnacentral:rRNA from 1 species
CGGACGGGUGAGUAAUGUCUGGGAGACUGCCUGAUGAGGGGGAUAACUACUGGAAACGGUAGCUAAUACCGCGUAACGUCGCAAGACCAAAGAGGGGGACCUUCGGGCCUCUUGCCAUCGGAUGUGCCCAGAUGGGAUUAGCUAGUAGGUGGGGUAAAGGCUCACCUAGGCGACGAUCCCUAGCUGGUCUGAGAGGAUGACCAGCCACACUGGAACUGAGACACGGUCCAG